rnacentral:lncRNA from 1 species
GAACAUUCCAGGCUCUGUGAACUAAGUGACUGAAGCUGAUUGACACAGGUCAAGGGGACUUCAAGGAAGAAAGCCAGCCUUAGACUGACAUCAGAGAACCAAACUCCGGUGUCUAAGCUCAAGCCUUGCGUGGAUGAAACAGUCCCAACGAACACUUUAAAAAGACAAAUGUUCCCGACAGCACUGGUUGAAUUCAAAACUCGGCAGAUCCAUGUUCUUAUCCUUAGACAAGAGAGGGGCCAUAACAAGAUGGAAUGACGGAACAGACGUGAGAGAUGAUGGUUGCAUAAUUCUUUCGGCGGUGAACCAACCCAAAUAUGUGUGCUACCUAGUUUUUGUCAGUUUGACACAAACCAGAGUCAUUUUGGAAGAAGGAAUGUCAAUUGGGAAAAUGCCCCCCACCAGACUGGCCAGUGGGCAAGCCUAUGGUGACUUUUCUUGAUUGAGGGUUGAUGGGGGAGGGCCCAGAGCGCUGUGGGUAGUGUCACCCCUGGGCUGGUGGUCCCGGGUGCUAUAAGAAGGCAGACUGAGCAAAUCACUAUGAACAAACCAGUAAGCAGUGUUUCUCUACGGCCUCUGCUUCAGUUCCUGCCCCGACUUCCUUCUAUGAUGAACUGUGAUGUGGAACUAGAAGCAGAAACAAACUCUUUCCCCCACAAGUUGCUUUUGGUCAUGGUGUUUUAUAGCUGCAAUAGAAAACCCAACUGAGACAGUAGUGUUAGCUACUAUUUGAUGGAAGGAAAGCUCUGCACUUGGACUUGGAACAUGCCCUAGACCCCACAGACUGAACCAACAGAGAGUUCAGUCCUAGGAACUGAACUUUGUUGGUCUUCAGGAGGCAGUAUAACUAGCUAAUUAUGCGGUGAACAACUAGUUAAGCAAUUGACUAGUUGGCUAGACUUUAGCCAGUUAAGUUGUCUUCUACCGUUUGCCUCCGUCUUUCUACAAAUGCUGCCAGACCCCUUGUGAGUUGGAGCUGGCAGAACCUGCCUUUGGCAACUGCCAAUUCUCGUAAUUUUUGUUUUCGGUUGUACUUUAUACCUCAUUUGAUUGGCCAAAGGGAUUUUCCUUUUAGUGGCACCCCACCUCCCACCCCAACCCAGUUGUUCUUUGUCCGCUUGAUACAAACCCAGACGUGUCUGGGAGGGGUCAUUGUUUUAAACAUGGUUUUAAUCAAGUAAUGUAGCUGUUUGAAGACAAUUCAAUAAAGACAUGAAGGAUUAUUGUUAUACAGUUAGCUUCCCUGAAUAAAGUCCAGAUUUUGUGAA